UAGGGGAGCGUUCUGUAAGCCGAUGAAGGUGUGUUGAGAAGCAUGCUGGAGGUAUCAGAAGUGCGAAUGCUGACGUGAGUAACGACAAAACGGGUGAAAAACCCGUUCGCCGAAAGACCAAGGGUUCCAGUCCAACGUUAAUCGGGGCUGGGUGAGUCGACCCCUAAGGCGAGGCCGAAAGGCGUAGUCGAUGGGAAAAUGGUUAAUAUUCCAUUACUUCUGUGUAAUGCGAUGAGAGGACGGAGAAGGCUAAAUCAGCCUGGCGUUGGUUGUCCAGGUGAAAGGAUGUAGGCAUGUAUCUUAGGCAAAUCCGGGGUACUCUAUGCUGAGAUCUGAUAGCAAGCUGUACUUGUACAGCGAAGUGGUUGAUGCCAUGCUUCCAGGAAAAGUCUCUAAGCUUCAGUUACACAGGAAUCGUACCCGAAACCGACACAGGUGGUCAGGUCGAGUAGACCAAGGCGCUUGAGAGAACUCUGCUGAAGGAACUAGGCAAAAUGGUACCGUAACUUCGGGAGAAGGUACGCUGUUGUUGGUGAUGGAACUCGCUUCCUGAGCUGACGACAGCCGCAGAAACCAGGCCGCUGCAACUGUUUAUUAAAAACAUAGCACUCUGCAAACACGAAAGUGGACGUAUAGGGUGUGAUGCCUGCCCGGUGCUGGAAGGUUAAUUGAUGGGGUUAGCGUAAGCGAAGCUCUUGAUCGAAGCCCCAGUAAACGGCGGCCGUAACUAUAACGGUCCUAAGGUAGCGAAAUUCCUUGUCGGGUAAGUUCCGACCUGCACGAAUGGCAUAAUGAUGGCGGCGCUGUCUCCAGCAGAGGCUCAGUGAAAUCGAAAUCGCUGUGAAGAUGCAGUGUACCCGCGGCUAGACGGAAAGACCCCGUGAACCUUUACUGCAGCUUGACACUGAACUUUGACCUUACUUGUGUAGGAUAGGUGGGAGGCUUUGAAGCUGGAACGCUAGUUCCAGUGGAGCCGUCCUUGAAAUACCACCCUGGUAAUGUUGAGGUUCUAACUCUGUCCCGUGAUCCGGGACGAGGACCGUGUCUGGUGGGUAGUUUGACUGGGGCGGUCUCCUCCUAAAGAGUAACGGAGGAGUACGAAGGUGCGCUCAGCGUGGUCGGAAAUCACGCGUAGAGUAUAAAGGCAAAAGCGCGCUUAACUGCGAGACCCACAAGUCGAGCAGGUACGAAAGUAGGUCUUAGUGAUCCGGUGGUUCUGUAUGGAAGGGCCAUCGCUCAACGGAUAAAAGGUACUCUGGGGAUAACAGGCUGAUACCGCCCAAGAGUUCAUAUCGACGGCGGUGUUUGGCACCUCGAUGUCGGCUCAUCUCAUCCUGGGGCUGAAGCAGGUCCCAAGGGUAUGGCUGUUCGCCAUUUAAAGAGGUACGCGAGCUGGGUUUAGAACGUCGUGAGACAGUUCGGUCCCUAUCUACCGUGGGCGCUGGAAAUUUGAGAGGAUCUGCUCCUAGUACGAGAGGACCAGAGUGGACGAACCUCUGGUGUACCGGUUGUGACGCCAGUCGCAUCGCCGGGUAGCUAUGUUCGGAAGGGAUAACCGCUGAAAGCAUCUAAGCGGUAAGCCUACCUCAAGAUAAGAUUUCCCUAGGACUUUAUGUCCUCUAAAGAGCCGUUCGAGACUAGGACGUUGAUAGGUUGGAUGUGGAAGCAUAGUGAUAUGUGAAGCUGACCAAUACUAAUUGCUCGUGAGGCUUGACUA
rnacentral:rRNA from 1 species